rnacentral:tRNA from 1 species
AUUAGUUUGGUGUUAGUACAGUAAGCAUUUUAAUUUUUCGUAUUAAAGGAGUUUCAGGUUGAAUCAACUAAUG